rnacentral:rRNA from 1 species
GGGUUGUGAGGUUAAGCGAAUAAGCGUACACGGUGGAUGCCUAGGCAAUCAGAGGCGAUGAAGGACGUGCUAAUCUGCGAAAAGCGUCGGUAAGGUGAUAUGAACCGUUAUACCCGACGAUAUCCGAAUGGGGAAACCCAGUAUCCAAUGGAUACUAUCAUUAACUGAAUCCAUAGGUUAAUGAGGCGAACCGGGAGAACUGAAACAUCUCAGUACCCCGAGGAAAAGAAAUCAACCGAGAUUCCCCUAGUAGCGGCGAGCGAACGGGGAGCAGCCCAGAGUCUUAAUCAAUAACAGUGUCAGGAGAACGGUCUGGAAAGUCCGGCAGUAAAGGGUGAUAGCCCCGUAUCUGAAGAUGCUGUUAUUGUGAACUCGACGAGUAGGGCGGGACACGUGUUAUCCUGUCUGAAUAUGGGGGGACCAUCCUCCAAGGCUAAAUACUCCUGAUUGACCGAUAGUGAACCAGUACCGUGAGGGAAAGGCGAAAAGAACCCCGGCGAGGGGAGUGAAAAAGAACCUGAAACCGUGUACGUACAAGCAGUAGGAGCCUCUUUAUGGGGUGACUGCGUACCUUUUGUAUAAUGGGUCAGCGACUUAUAUUCUGUAGCAAGGUUAACCGUAUAGGGGAGCCGUAGGGAAACCGAGUCUUAACUGGGCGAAUGAGUUGCAGGGUAUAGACCCGAAACCCGGUGAUCUAUCCAUGGGCAGGUUGAAGGUUGGGUAACACUAACUGGAGGACCGAACCGACUAAUGUUGAAAAAUUAGCGGAUGACUUGUGGAUGGGGGUGAAAGGCCAAUCAAACCGGGAGAUAGCUGGUUCUCCCCGAAAGCUAUUUAGGUAGCGCCUCGUGAACUCAUCUUCGGGGGUAGAGCACUGUUUCGACUAGGGGGUCAUCCCGACUUACCAACUCGAUGCAAACUGCGAAUACCGAAGAAUGUUAUCACGGGAGACACACGGCGGGUGCUAACGUCCGUCGUGAAGAGGGAAACAACCCAGACCGCCAGCUAAGGUCCCAAAGUCAUGGUUAAGUGGGAAACGAAGUGGGAAGGCUCAGACAGCCAGGAUGUUGGCUUAGAAGCAGCCAUCAUUUAAAGAAAGCGUAAUAGCUCACUGGUCGAGUCGGCCCGCGCGGAAGAUGUAACGGGGCUAAACCAUGCACCGAAGCUGCGGCAGCGACACAAAGUGUUGUUGGGUAGGGGAGCGUUCUGUAAGCCUGCGAAGGUGUACUGUGAGGUAUGCUGGAGGUAUCAGAAGUGCGAAUGCUGACAUAAGUAACGAUAAUGCGGGUGAAAAACCCGCACGCCGGAAGACCAAGGGUUCCUGUCCAACGUUAAUCGGGGCAGGGUGAGUCGACCCCUAAGGCGAGGCUGAAAAGCGUAGUCGAUGGGAAACGGGUUAAUAUUCCCGUACUGGUGGUAACUGCGAUGGGGGAACGGAGAAGGCUAGGUUGUCCGGGCGACGGUCGUCCCGGUUCAAGCAGGUAGGCAGAGUGAUUAGGCAAAUCCGGUCACUUAAUGCUGAGAUGUGAUGACGAACCACCAAGGUGGUGAAGCAAUUGAUGCCCCGCUUCCAGGAAAAGCCUCUAAGCUUCAGGUUACCAACAAUCGUACCCCAAACCGACACAGGUGGUCAGGUAGAGAAUACUCAGGCGCUUGAGAGAACUCGGGUGAAGGAACUAGGCAAAAUGGUGCCGUAACUUCGGGAGAAGGCACGCUGGCGGUAGGUAAAGUCCCUCGCGGACGGCGCUGAAGCCAGUCGAAGAUACCAGCUGGCUGCAACUGUUUAUUAAAAACACAGCACUGUGCAAACACGAAAGUGGACGUAUACGGUGUGACGCCUGCCCGGUGCUGGAAGGUUAAUUGAUGGGGUUAGCGUAAGCGAAGCUCCUGAUCGAAGCCCCAGUAAACGGCGGCCGUAACUAUAACGGUCCUAAGGUAGCGAAAUUCCUUGUCGGGUAAGUUCCGACCUGCACGAAUGGCGUAAUGAUGGCCAGGCUGUCUCCACCCGAGACUCAGUGAAAUUGAACUCGCUGUGAAGAUGCAGUGUACCCGCGGCAAGACGGAAAGACCCCGUGAACCUUUACUAUAGCUUGACACUGAACAUUGAGCCUUGAUGUGUAGGAUAGGUGGGAGGCUUUGAAGUGUGGACGCCAGUCUGCAUGGAGCCAACCUUGAAAUACCACCCUUUAACGUUUGAUGUUCUAACCUAGGCCCAUAAACUGGGUCGGGGACCGUGUCUGGUGGGUAGUUUGACUGGGGCGGUCUCCUCCUAAAGAGUAACGGAGGAGCACGAAGGUUGGCUAAGCAUGGUCGGACAUCAUGCGGUUAGUGCAAAGGCAUAAGCCAGCUUGACUGCGAGAGUGACGGCUCGAGCAGGUACGAAAGUAGGUCUUAGUGAUCCGGUGGUUCUGAAUGGAAGGGCCAUCGCUCAACGGAUAAAAGGUACUCCGGGGAUAACAGGCUGAUACCGCCCAAGAGUUCAUAUCGACGGCGGUGUUUGGCACCUCGAUGUCGGCUCAUCACAUCCUGGGGCUGAAGUAGGUCCCAAGGGUAUGGCUGUUCGCCAUUUAAAGUGGUACGCGAGCUGGGUUUAGAACGUCGUGAGACAGUUCGGUCCCUAUCUGCCGUGGGCGUUGGAAGAUUGAGAGGGGUUGCUCCUAGUACGAGAGGACCGGAGUGAACGCACCACUGGUGUUCGGGUUGUCAUGCCAAUGGCAUUGCCCGGUAGCUAAGUGCGGAAGAGAUAACCGCUGAAAGCAUCUAAGCGGGAAACUUGCCUCGAGAUGAGUCUUCCCUGUCGCUUUAAGCGACCUAAAGGAACGUUUAAGACUAAGACGUUGAUAGGCUGGGUGUGUAAGCGUAGCGAUACGUUGAGCUAACCAGUACUAAUGAACCGUGAGGCUUAACCUGACAACACCGAAGGUGUUU